AUACGUAGGGGGCGAGCGUUGUCCGGAUUUAUUGGGCGUAAAGAGCUCGUAGGCGGUUCAACAAGUCGGUCGUGAAAGUUCAGGGCUCAACCCUGAAAUGUCGAUCGAUACUGUUGUGACUAGGAUACGGUAGAGGUGAGUGGAAUUCCGAGUGUAGCGGUGAAAUUCGUAGAUAUUUGGAGGAACACCAAUGGCGAAGGCAACUCCCUGGCCAAAGACUGACGCUCAUGUGCGAAAGUGUGGGUAGCGAACAGGAUUAGAUACCCUGGUAGUCCACGCCGUAAACGAUGAGAACUAGCCGUUGGGGCCUUUAAGGCUUUGGUGGCGCAGCUAACGCGAUAAGUUCUUCGCCUGGGGAGUACGGCCGCAAGGUUAAAACUCAAAUAAAUUGACGGGGACCCGCACAAGCAGUGGAGCAUGUGGUUUAAUUCGACGCAACGCGAAGAACCUUACCAGCGUUUGACAUGGAAAGUACCGGUUACAGAAUGGUAACCUUCAGUUAGGCUGGCUUUCGCACAGGUGCUGCA
rnacentral:rRNA from 1 species